UAGAGAGCACCAGGGGCCUUUUUUUAGCAUUUCUUCUGUUGAGCGUUUUGUACGGGUUUCUCAUUCAUGCAGCCAGGGCUCUUGCUGGGCACCGCGGAGAAGAACAAGCACUCACUGUGGCUGGGCCCCUGCCUCUCCUGGCCAGGAGAAUCCAAAGCUCCACUGCCUGCGCCCCCUCAAAUUUCAAGUCCCCCUACACCCCACCACCAAUCCUUCUGGCCCCUGUCUCUCUGCCUGCCUCUCCUGCUAGUCUGCUCUCCAAAACCCACUUGGGCUACAUGGGCGCCUCACGUACCAGGCACCAUCCUAUCCCAGGGAGAAGAAAGGAUCAAAGGAAUAAAGUGGAGAUGAAAAGAAUGUCAAAAUAUAACAGAGGCACCUCCAUAAAAAAAGAGGUUCUCUGUUCCCUGCCCCACCUAAUGAGGGGCAGAGCUGAGUGGCCAGGUAAAGCUAUAAGACACUUAGAGCAGAGAGACCCAUGGAGGAGAAGGGCAUGCUUGCUUCUCAGCUUUGGACUUGCACCAGGGACUUGGGGGACAUGGAAGGAGACAUGUGGAGUCGAGACAUGUAGAAUCUUGUGGGUGAGAGACCUAUGGGGAGUUACAAUGGCAACCAAU